AAUGGCUCCAAUUCUUUUUCAUCUGGGCCCAUUUCGCCGUAGCGCUCGUCGACGCCCCCACAUUGGCGGCGCGUCGUCGCCGGCACCGGCAGCGCUUGCCGCUCGCCACCUCACAAGGCUCGCUGCACUGCCAGGAUUUACCUCCUCCGGCUCCGAAACAGUACUCAACGAGGGACCUUGGAGGCAGCGCCGCGGCGCGCGUUGAGCCGAGCACUCACUGCGGCUGAGUCAUUCGACCCGGCGGCGGCGGCGGCGCGGCGCCCGCACCGCCUGCCAGGCAGGCUUCCGAAGGCAGUUGCCUCCUUCCGUGCAGGGUGGAGAUAAUGCGUUUAUGUGAAUGGAUGGGUGCCUGCAACUUCCUCCAGCUUUAUGAUGAUAAUGUAUGAACUUCCUAUGCUACUAAUUGAUUCUCUUUUGCAUUUAACUUUAUAGUGAAGCUAUCGCUCAUUUUGUCCAUUGUGUUCUUUUACUGAGGCUAAGCUGUUUAUGCAAAUCAUUUAGCUUCUGUUUUCUGUAGUUCCGGUGAUGUUUCUAAAUAUGGUUUGAUAUGCUAAAAUAGUUGAAGCAGGGGAUGAACCUCCUUCCUCAAAUAUAAUUGAUAUAUUAGGUUUGCGAGA